AAGACGGUUUUUUUCAAAACCACGUAUAUUCAACUUUCAGAGCAGU
rfam:Caenorhabditis elegans chromosome II